UUCUUACACUUGCAAUUAUAUCUGCAAUGUGUGCAAAUUUCAGGAGAGCAAAUCGAGCGAAUUAGACGAUUGGAGUGUGUGGGUGGAUGGGUGCAGGAGAGUGUGUUUGCGCGCGUUACGCCCCUUGAUUUAAUUUGCCAACUUCUUGGGAUUUUGCAUUUUAAUAUAAACACUUUUACUCCUAGUUGGCUGCUUAUAUCGAAAGCGAGACAGUUGUCUCUUUUUUAUACACACAUUUUCACACACGCACAGUCACAAACACAGUCACAAGUGGGAAGUUCUGCUUCCUUUCCCUCCCAUCACUUGCCAUCCGCCCACCCCAGUGCAGACACCGCGACGAAGAGGGGAGAGCUAUCAAGACCAAGACAGAGACAGAAAUAGAGACAGAGCGUUUUUGCAUAUACUUCUCUCGUGGACCACGUGCUCAUUAAAUCGCUGACGGCAAUUCAUAGAGAACAUCCAACAACCGACUAGCGCGGCACAGCACCCUUUCCUGUGGUGUGCUCUUUUCAGCUUCUUUCCUUUCCUGCGAUUUCCAUUCGCACACCCUCGUUGCGCUCAGCUCGAGGCAGCUCGGCUUUACUCGGCUGGGAUCGUUUGGCACAUAAUGCAAUUAAAAAUAAAAAACUAUUCCCGGACGGAAUCCGUUGCGAUAGCUUCGAUACAUCAAAAUAGUGCAGGAUUCUCUUCAUUAGAAGUGGAAUAAAACUCUGCUCUUCUUGUCUACGGAUUGAAGUUUUUGUUGCUAGGGACCAAUACUUGCACAUCAUACAUACGGAUAAGGUUUCCGAGAUUUCGAUGUUAAUACGGACAGACGGACAUUUCAAGUGAUCCUGCGCUUAUAGAGGGAAUGCUACAGCCGACUAUCAGCUACCCGUCAGUCAGCUAGGGGAAAAGAGAACGAGAAAUUUCAACAGUUUUUGGCAUUGGGGAAUAUAAUAAGAAAAGUCUUAAGUUGUUCAAAGGGAUGGUCGCGACCGUUUUGGGCAAAAACCAAAAAAUAACAAAAUAUUUUUCAAAAGCGUGGGCGUGGCAGUUUUGGGCGGUUUGUGGGCGUUAGAGUGAGCUUGGCAACAAGCUUGCACUGCCUCUAUGCGUCUAGAAUCUGCAUGCUUAAUCUCAACCUUAUUUCCUUUAUAGUCCCUAAGAUCUGGACGUUAAUACGGACAGACAGACGGACGGACAAGCCCAGAUCGACUCGGCUAUUGAUCCUGAUCAAGAAUAUAUAUACUUUAUAUGAUGGGAAUCUCUUCCUUCUAUCUGUUACACACUUUUUAACGAAUCUAGUUUUCGCAUUUACUCUACGAGUAAUGGGUGCAUAUAUACAAGCGAUUUUCCGCGUUCGAAUGGAAAUUUCAAAAAUGAAAUAUUUUAUGAAUAUACAGCAUAUAUGUACAUAUGCCUAUGUAAAAGUAUACUCACCGUCGCACACGCAGUACUUUGAAUUAGCAUUCUUAAUCAUAUAUGUAUAUACAUUCGUAUUUCGACAAGGCAAGAACAUACAUAUUUACGCGGUAGUCUGUUGCAAAAGUCGCGUCUGCGUUUACACUUUUAACAAGAAAUGAAGAUAACACGCAUGUCAGAGGGGAAAGGAAUAGAUAAAACCCUUUCUGGCACUCACUCUCUUUCGUUUAACGUCAUGCGUUUACUCUCGCUUUUACAUACUCGCUAAUGCACGGCAAGGUAUUAGAAUACGCUUAUAUACCCAUAUAUAUGAAACAAGAGAGAAUGCUAUAGUCGAAUUCCCCGUUUCUCAGCGAGUGGAAAUUCGAAUUCGCGAAAUUGUAUUAUUUAUCUGGCAUAUCGAUAGAUAUGGGAGAUGGGAGAAUAAAAUGGGAAAAAAUUAAAAAUUGGUCGUUUUGAUUGUGUAAGGAGGGGCAUGACGAAAGUGUUUUUGGUAUACCGAUAGAAAUUGGCAAGGCAAACGACAAAUUUUGGAAAAGGACAUAUUCCUUGCAGUUUUGGGCUGCUUUUGAGCGUUAGAGUGGGUGUGGUAAGAGCAAAAAGUUUUUUGCCAAAUCGAGAGAAAUUUACAAGACCAAUAAAUAUAUGAAUAAACAUAAAAACAUUUUGGAAAAGUGUGGGCGUAGCUUUUAUUGGCCGUGGGAGUUAGAGUGGGCGUUACAACAUUUGGAAACAAACUUGUGCUGCGCUUAUGUCUCUGGAAACUGCAUGCUUAAUCUCAACAUUCUAGCUUUUAUAGUUCCUGAGAUACGGACGGACAGAUCCAAAUCGGGUCGGCUAUUGGGCCCACAAUUUUUUUCAUUAUACCCGUUGCUUGAAGAGAAAAAGGGUGUAAUAUAUUCGUUGAAAACUAUGUAACAGGCAGAAGUACGCGAUUCCCAAUAUAUAAAGUAUAUAUAUAUUCUUGAUCAGGAUCAUUAGCCGGAUCGAUCUGGCCAUGUCCGUAUGAUAAUAAGAAAUAUAUAUAUCAUGUACUAUAAAAUUAAAAAAGAGCUAAAAAGGUUGAGAUUAAGAAUACAGAUUCUAGAGACAUAAACACAGCGCAAGUUUGUUGACCCAUGUUGACCGAAACACUGUGGCCACGUUCCUCCAUUCACCUAUAAGCCGCCCAAAAGCGGUCACGCCCACACUUUUAAACAAGUUUUAGUUUUUUCUCAUUUUAUUUAACAAUAUCUAAUGAUAAAAUUUUGAGUUCGCAUUCCCACAAGAUGAGUAACGGGUAUCUGAUAGUCUAGACUAUAGCAUUCUCUUUUGUUUUCUUUGUAUAUUGGAAGUUCUAGAAAAUCCAGUUUUUCGUCAUUCGUCCAAUUCAUAUUCCUUGUAUCUAUAAACAAACCUAGCUAUCAGAUAAAACACUCAGGUGUCAAUGUGUUUAGUUUAUAUGUUUCAUCCACGAGAAUGGCAGUUGACGUAGUGACAAAGCGUGGCAGGAGAGAGUGCGGAACGAAAAAAUUAAAAUUGUGGUACAUCGACUCGGAUGUUGUACAUAAUCAUCUACAUAACAUACAUAUAUGUAUGUAUAGGGUCGGAUACGCUUCCUUCUACCUGUUACACAUUUUUGUGUAGUAUGCACUUUUACUCUACAAGUGACGGAUAUAAACAUUUUUCCGAACCUAGAAGAUGCAUAUCAAUAGGUUUUAAGACGCAAAUCUUUAGACAUUUCCAACGCCUUUUAAUCAGUAGCUUCACAAUUGCCAUGCACACAUAAAUUCGCCAUACAGAACUUGGAAAAUAAUUAAUUAAGUAAUUUCUUAAGUCAUUAACAAAUAAUUCCGAUGAGACAGGGCCCCGGCUUUUAGUUAUUAUUACGUUCAGAGGGACCUAUUUCCCAAAGGGUAGUCUACUGAUUCAGAAGAAGCUUAAAGUAAUGGGAAGAGCUGGUAAACUACAUAUGAAUCGAUGAGUACACCGAUAUUCAGAAUGCAUUGCUUGGAUUUAAAAAGAAACCAAAUGUUUCGUGUUUAUCACAUGCUUAUGUACAAUUACCGUGUUGGGUACACAUUCCCUUGUAAACAUACAAACUGAGAUAUGCAGUAUGCAAAGGCUUUUGUGUUUGGAUAUUUUAAGUAAAUACAGGUGAGCAAACAAGUUUUUGACGAGGUCUCCGUUUUGACUCUCAGAUAAACUUUUGUUUCCGUGGUCACUGGGUUUGGAAAUCACGGGUUCUUGUAUUUAAAGUCGAACAGAUCAAUAUUUAAAUUAUUCAUCGGUAUGCCUAUGCAUGUCAGUGCAUUUGUAUUUUCUGUCAUAAACCCGAAACCCAAAAACCAUGUAACAAGGUAAUAGUCACACCGAUCCGCGCUUGUCGGCUAGCCUUCCAAAAAUAAAUAGGGAACACACAUAAAUAAAUGCAAGUGUUUUAACAAUAAUUUCGGGAAUAUCUUUUUAUUUAUAUGAUAUAAUUUUAUUUUACGUCUCCUUAGGGUCGGGUGAGCCAGUUAGCCAGAUUCUGAAUCUCAACUUUUUAGCCUAUAUAGUUCCCGAGAUCUACAGACUCACACUCUUUUCAACGAACAUAGUGCACCCAUUUACUCUAUAUAAUAUAUAACAUUUUUGCUUAUAUUUUGCUUUCGUAUCUGUUGAAGAUAGCAACAGGUUGUAGAAUUAAGUAGUUUUUCACGGUAAAAAAAAGUCGGCAACAUUUUUUCUUAUUUUCUGUUUUCAAAGUUGAGCCCUUUUCCUUUGUUAUGUUCUCGACAUGUGGGCCGACACUUUAGAGUUGGACAGUCGACAAUUUAUUGAUGUGAUUCGACGAUUGUUCCCUUUUUCAUUGACGAGAGGCCUAUUCCAACUGGAUUAUCUGACCCUUUUGAUCACGUCAUUUUACGCGCAUAUGUCUGAUUUCGGUUAAGUUUCGGUAUGCUAUAAUACUUCAAAUCGGUAAUAUUUACUGUUUUUACAAUAAGUUAAAAUCGAGUGAUUUAGUUUUUUGUUUGAAAGAUUCACAUUCUUACUCGCAUUCAUGGACUAUAUCUUUUGUCCAAACGCAUGAAUAAAUUAAAAGGUACAUAGAUUGGCUGACGUAAUAAAGAUUAGAAUAUGGAACUGCGUACUACGGUCGCCUAGUCACAAGGAUUGUGUCGACUAAAGGGAUUGAAAAAUCACGACAUGGGGUGAAAAUAUGGGUUGAAUGAUCACAAAACUUCAGUUCCUAUGUGACAAAGAUAAUAUACCGGGAUAGAUAUUAUACAGAUAGACGCAGCGCAAGGUUUUUGACCCAUGUUGCCACGCCUACUCUAACGCCCACAAACCGACCAACACAGCAACGCGAAAAAGUUAUGGAAAUGUUUAUUCACCUCUCUUUUAACACUUUUAAAGUUUUUUUUUUAAAUUUUUCUCAUUUUUUUUCAUUUUAUUUAAUAUCCAUUGAUAUGCCAGAAAAUUAUGCAAUUUCUCGUUCGCUAGUGGAAAUCACUAGCAGAAUAACGGGUAUCUGAUAGUGCUCUGCUAUAUAAUUCUCUCUUGUUUCAUUUUACUCCUUGUCAACAUCUAUAGAUAUGCUAAAAAAAUUCUGAAAUUUCUUAAAUUUUAACCAUCAAUAGCUAUUAAUGCAUGGAAGCAUCUGGUUUCUUCGUUCAAAAUAAUAAAUUCUUACAGCAAUAUAAAUAUUUUUAUGUUAUCCCGCAAUAAAGGAAUAUCGCAGUAUUAGGAUAUCAAAAAAUGUCACAAAAAAUGUUCGUUUGAUCAGUCGAAACAUUAACACAUCAAAUACGUGCAUAUGUAUGUAUGCCCAUUCAUUAUUUAUAAAUGUUUUUCGUAUCUUCUAUGGCGCACACACCUUAAAUGACGAUAGAUGAAUGGACGGGAACUCCGUUUGACGCUUUCUGAAUGAAUUUUAAAUAGUUUUGCAUAUUUAAACUAUUUUGUGCUGGCGGUACCUCUAGCAGCUUUCGGGCAAUCACCAGUAUGCCAUUUCCAUAGGUAAGCUACACAAAUGUAAAUCAAAACAGAUCCCAGACUACAGUCGUGAAGAUAAUCAGAAAACACUAUAUUACAGUAUUCCUAAGAUGGAAUAAAUUCAGAUAGAAUUUUUGUUUACACUUACAUUAAUUAUUUAAACCUUGUGUUCGUUGAAUUACAGUGGCCUUGCAAAAACAAAAUAAGUGAUAUCCAGUUGUUUGCUAACCUCCAUACCCGGCGUCGACAAUAAGUACGUUGUUGAAAUUACCGAAAUCGGCUAGAAUUGGUAAUAAUGCACAUACCUAAGAUUUCGAUUACCUAGAUACAGGAAUUCUAUUCGUAUAAAUUAUACAGAUAUAGUUUAUAAAGUCAGGUAUUUGUGUAUAAUAUCCUUUUCAUUGGCAACCACCCACUAAAAAUACAUUUGCACAUGCACUUACCUGUUGUUUUACAUAUAUAAGAACUAGUUUCCUUAUUUUGCAUUUCCAUUAAUGUCAAAAUAUGAAUGGAAAUAAACUAAUGAGAUAGGACCAGGUAGAACAAAAUAGUCGGUUUCCUCGACUAUCAUAUACCAUCGCUAUUUGGCAUAUUAAUAGAAAUUGGCUAUAAGAACGGUUAACGGAACAAGUACCGGGAAUAAAACAAGAGAGAAUGUUGUAGUAGAUGCGAACGAAAAGUUAAAUAUUUUUUCUGGGAAAUCGAUAGAUAUUGGGGAAUAAAAUGAGAACAAAAUUUAAAAAUUGUUUAAAAGUUUGGGCGUGAGAAUUUUUGGAGGUUUGAACGCAUUAGAAGAGAGGUGGCCAAAGUGUUUUUGGUAUUCCGUUAGAAGAUAGAUUGGCAAGACAAACAAUAAAACGAAGAAAAUCGGAACAUUUCCCAGUUUGUUGGCGUUAAAGUGGGCAACAUGGGUCAACAAACUUACGCUGCGUCUAUCUAAAAUCUGUAUGCAAAAUACCCACUUUUAAGCUUUUAUAGUUCUAGAAAUCUCGAUGGUCAUUCGGACCAUCGGAAAUUUUCAGAUCGAGUAGUAUUAAUAAAUAUGGUUACAUACUUUUCAACGAGUCUAGGUCACCAUUGCAAGAAAGCACGUAGUAACGAAUGCACCAGGAGAGUAUGCGAAGGCGACAACUAUAUACUCGUAUGUACUCAAGGAAAUGAAAUGAAAAUGAAAAUAAAUCUGUGGUCCAUACGGGCCAAAGGCAGUAAUUGGGCGGGAUGAAUUUUAAGAUUUCCCAUUGAAGUCGUCAAGUGCCAAAUUAAAAUUCAAUGGGUUGCGCUUCAUUAUCCCAAAUGGAUGCGAAAACAAAUGCGGGCGUUAUUUGUUAUUAUUUCCCUAAUUCCGGAUGUUAAACGCCUAUACAAGGAACCAUCGCUGCCAUCCCCAAUUUUUAAAUUCAAAGCUCUUUUAAAGCAAUUAAACUGGAAACAAUGUCCCCCAUACAAUUUGGUCGAAGCUGACCGCAGAUUAGGUAUUUAAAUCUCUUUUUUUUACUCCCGCCUUCUCCAGAACUGUCAGCAUAAUUAUCCGUUUAACGCUUUCGCCACUAUUAGCAGAACGACAACAUAAUUAAUUAAUUUUUUUUGAAUAAAGAUGCAAUGGUGCCAUGUUCCUCUUAAGCUUCAUUCCAGGCAUCUGAUUUUUUUAACUUCUUCAUUAAAGUGGUACCUAACUCGAAAAGAAUGCCUGUUUAAUAUUCUUGGAAAAUGCGUCAUUUUGCAUUAUGUGGUUUUCCAAAAUGAGCCUGACAUUUGAAAUGAUUUCUGCAGCCCAUGACAGAAGAGCUUUCAUUUAAUUUAACAAUAAUUUGAUAAGUGCUUCUACGCAAAUGAGUUUGUAACAAAUAAUACAGUUGAUGCGCACCACUGACUUACCAAUUAUAAAAAGUAAUGUCAUAGCAUUUUAGUAGACGGGCGAGCGAUCUAGGUAGAGUCAGUUUAGGGAAUUAAAUUAAUGAAAAUGGCAUUUUCUUCAAAAAUAUUACACAAUCUCUAUGUCGCAUAUAAGCAGCUGUGGAUUUUCGAUAUUUUGUUAAAGUAAUUAGACAUAGGAAGCGUUAAAAAAUAUUUCUAGGUGGUUUGAGAUCAAAACGUAAAAACAAUUCUCUAAAUUGUUUUUAGGCAUGUUCUAUUAGGCAUUAAUAAACAAUAUAUUUUUUGCGGUUAAAAACAUAAAACUAAUCCAUUUUUAAUGAAAUUGUAGAGUAAUAAGUAGAAUAGUAAUGUAUGUACAUAUUUAUUAUGAGAACUUACUGUUGAUUUCAGCUGAUUCAAAAGCAAUGCUCAAUAUAAACAAUUUACCUGCAGAAUAGGAACCAAAAAUGUCUACCCAGUCAAAAUCUCGGAACAAGGGCAGAUUCAAGUUUGAAUCUCUAAAUUGGCACGGUCUUUUGAAAUAUGUUUUAUUACUUGGGAGCCAAAAUAGCUUGAAUAGAUUAAUUGGAAGCAAAUAUUUCUAUAUGUAAACACUUACGUGUCUCAAUGCUAUCAAUUGCGUUAGCCUCAUGGAAAACCGGGGGUGAAUGGAUUUGGUGUACAUAUAAUGAAUUCUUAUUCGCAAAAAGAGAAUUAGCAGCCAGCACAAAUAAUAUGUUGAUGCAUGUAUUUCGAAUUGGCUGCUUGGGAGUAGUAAGUGUCGCAGAACGCGUAGAGUACUCCCCGUAAUUACGCUCUCCAGUUAAUCAAUGGUUACUUUGUGGUUUUUAUGACCACUUUGGCGUAGGGGAGGGGAUAAUGUGUCUUAUGCUUUAGCCAAAUCUAAUUAUACGUCAAUGACACUGCAUAUUGAAGAAGUCAGUACAGUCACCAUUGACCUAUUAUGGUUUUCUUUUUGGAUUCGAUGAAUAUAAAUUACACAUUUAUGGAAAUCGAUAUUUGUUCGAAUUCAAAUACUUUAUACAUAUUUUGAUGAUUUAGAUAAUGUCGUCACAAACUGAACGCUUGAUAAUUUGACUGGGCUUUAUGAAAGUGGAUGAUAAACAAUUGACAAAGCUGGCUUCGACACAUAUACACAUACAUAUGAAAAAACUGAUGAGUACCGAACACUUUUUGAUCACAAACAAAGAAAAUAUGAUUUAUAUUUUAAUAUUUGCAAUGAAUUUGCUUUAUGAAAUAAUCUAUCUAUUUAAUAUUAUCUAUCUAAUCUAAUAUCUAUUUAAUAUAUUGUCUAAAACCUAGUGUAGAUUAAAAAUAAAAAGAUAAAAAGGAAAGGAAUAUAAUGAGGUAUGUAAUGUAAAAUUCUGUUCAACUUUUGCGAUAAAAAGUAAUUUAGCACUUGACAUUUGAUACAGUCUAAAACUUUUUGUAAUAUCAGGACAUAGUUAGUAGAGGGUGGGAUCGUCACUUGUUUUUUUUACCUCGCCAAGAGGUGUCUUACACUUCAAGUUUUUUCGUAAGGCUAUUAAUUUUAUAUUUGUUUCUUACGUUUACCUCACCACUUUGAGGAGAAGUAGCUUGCAAAAACUCAUUAUAUUCAUAAUAAUAAUCAUUUAUAUUUUAAAAUAUUUUAAAAGUGAUUUUAUGUGUUCAAUAUUAAGAGUUUAGGAUUUUUCAAAGCUAUCAAAUUUAAAGGGCUAUACAGUUAAAAUUACAAAAAAAAAUCGUUAGACUUAUUUUCAAGAAAUCCAACAAAGUGAAAACGAAAGCAACCUUUUUUUCUGUUCCUAGGCAAAUAAUGUUAUAUACUUUUUUUAUGGAAAUACAGCCUUUAACCUUACAGGUUCUGAAAUUAUAAGCAAGAUUUAUAAAUUAUAGAAAGUGUACCUUAUUUGAGUUCACUAAGCUAAAGUGGUUUUCCAAAAACUUCUUAAACAAAAAACCGAAAUAUGUUUAGAUUGCUCCAUCUAACCGUCCGAAUGAACGUUGACAUUUGGGGAACUUUAAAAGCUAUAAGGCUGAGAUUAGGCCCGAAACUGCCAUUCAAUUGAAAUUUUUUAUUUUAUUUUAUUAAUUACUUGCCAUUAGUUGAUCAGGUGGCACCUCCGAAGCACGGCAAAAUAAAUAUUACACACGAAAGUCUGUAACCCAAAAUACACUCCCACUAGGCGCGUAAACGGUAUUUGAUAGUGGAUGAACUCGAAUACAGCAAUAUCUCUUGUGUUGUUUUACAUUAUAAAAUAUUUGAAUAUUUUGAGUUACAGACUUUCGUCUGCAAACUACUUUGGUUAGAAGAAAUUGCAAAAACUCCGGCUGGAGCAAGCAACCUCGCGGCAUCGAUAUUAACGCAGUUAAUCGUAUAUCUCGGCACGCACGAACGACAAGAGGAAGGUCAAACAGUUGUCGACGCAACACACCCCCAUCACCAAACACCCUAGCCAGAUGGUCAUCUCGGCUGCUAAGGCGGGCGACGUACAAAUUAAGUUCCUGUAAAUUUCCGGUUUGCAUCGAUGUAAAUGAAACAAAGGCAAUUAAUGUGAUUCGUGAUUCUGAUGCUAACACGGCGACAAAGAUACCCCACUCUAUGUGACCUUUGUAACCUUUUCAUUUCACUCACUAAAAGCACGCAUUUUCGCAGGCGCAAAUCACAAAGAAUGUGGAGAACGCGACGUGAUAUUCACACUGCUAUUUUGCUACCGCUUUGAAUGAAAAUUAAUAAACAAAUAAAAUUAAGAAAGCUUACGGGUUACAAUUGAAGGUCACUGAUACUUCUUAUUCUUUACCGAAAAUCUUUUCAAUCUACUUGUAACCUACUUAUUUGUACUUACUUUACUUUAUUUUUAAAUUGACACUUCUUCGGUUCUAAAAUUAAUCAAAAUUAAAUUAUUUAUUUAUUUGAAAUUUAAAAAUUCUUAUUUUCUAAAAAUUCCUCGAAUCAUUACUAUAGUUUUACCUCGUUAGGAGGUAUGUGUGUUUCAUAUGUUCCUAUUUACAAUUUGAUUAAAAAUUUUUGUGACAUUAAAAUGUAUAAUACGUUAUAUAUCAUAAUUUGAUAUAUGUAUGUAUCCUUAACAAAUGUACAAUAAAUAAUGUAAAUUUUGCCAAAUUUGUAAUGUUGUUUAAAAACAAAAAAUACAAAAACGUUUCUUGUAGUAACUAUGUAAAAAAUUUAAAAAUAGUCGAUUGCGUAGUUUUUGCGCUAGAAUGUUCACAGAAUUCAGAAGUGACAAUAGCACACUUUAUCGUUUUCUCUCUAACUUCCUUGAAAACGAUAAAAAAAAGAAAUAUCAAUUAUACAUACAUGUAUGUAUGUAUGUAUAUACAAACGAUUCAGCCCGAAGGUAUGCAUACAUAUUUUGCGGUUACUGCAUUGCGUUGGCUCGAAUGUAUUUUAAAUAAUUUUUACAUUUUCAGUGAUUUUAUGAGCUUCAUUGCCAAAUGCCUGUAUGAAAAUUAAUUAAAAACAACUUAUUAGAAAUAAAAAAAAAAUUAUAAUCAACCGGAGUAGAACUGCAGUCUUUCUUUUGGGAAUCAUGCUCUGUAUGCGUAUGCAUGUUUGAUUUAUACGUUUGCUUGCUUUUUAACGUUAGUAUUUAUUAAGAAAUAAUUAUUGUUUUGUUGGAAUGGGGCAGAUCGUGACCACCACAAACAUUUGAUUUAGUGCUCGUUGCGUUCUGUGAAGCCCACCGUCUUAAAUAUUAAUGAAAUUAUGUCUUCCUUUAUUAACAGCCGAGCGGACUUGCUCUCUUUCCAUAUUGCCACAGAAGUUCGGGGAAAACGCUGUUGUACUAUCAGGAGACCGACAAAAAACUUUGGGGGUGCCAUUCUCGUCGUUGGGCUUGGUCUCAAGUGAAUUCCCUUCGAGUCCACGCAAAUCCAGUUCUAUGUGCCAUCCAUAGCGCAGCGUAUUCCCGAACCAACGUUGCGGACCACCGUUACGAGCGCACAAAAAAAACUACCCCGACAAAAUUAUAAUGAAGUUGGUGGUGGUGCAGAGGAAAGCAAAGUGUGCGUCGAAAACAGGGUACGGCGACCAGUAACGGAGAACAAGACCUGGGUCCCGCGGUCCGGGGUCCUGGGCACGGGACCAAGAGAAUCGGGUGGAGUGGGCUUUCUUUGCCACCUUCCUUCCGCCUGCUUGUGCAGUUGGAACACCACCACCCUGGGUUAAAAUUAAAAAAGCGAAAACAAAAACUCGGCGCGUUGGAUGUUGUAUGUAUGUAUGUAAGUAUCUGCUUGCGUAGGUACAUAAAAAACGAGAUCAUCCACGGUGAUGAAACAGAAGCAUCCCCAGUGCCCCUGGAAUGUACAAAUGUAUGCAUGUGUGUAUGAUUUUAUGUAUGUAUGUAAUUAUGCAUGCAUGUGCGCGCACACAGCAGAGCAUCGAAGGUAUGGCAGUGUGCGUACGCACGCACCAUUUAUGCAUGUGCUUAUUUGUCGCUUUGAGGAAUGCUUUAACUUCUGUUGUCCGCUCUUCUUUCUGGUGACCUGUGACCCUGACUGUGCGUAAAAGGACGACCGGAGCCCCACCAUUGCAGGUAAAAAUCGUGUCAACAUGCAGCGUGAGUGCAGGAUAAACAAUUUAAUUAUCAAACAAGAAAUUUUAAAACUCAGGUUUGCUCUUUGUUGCUAACAGAAAUGAAGAAGGUGAGUUAACUUUUGGCUGAGAGUAACCAAUACAAUUUUUGUCAAUUGUAAUUAUAAUAUUAUGCUCAUGAAUGAAAAAUGUUGAUCAUUAUUAAUCUAAAAGUCAUGAAUAAAGUAGGUUAACAUGGCAUGGGAGAUGCGUGCAUUCGUGUGUUUUUGUUUAAUGUGUAUUUUGGUAUAAUGUUAGCAACCAGAUGUUUAUUAGACAAAAUUACAACAAUUUGUUAUUUUUAUACUUUUUACGAUGUUUAUAGGGUAUUUCAGAUUCAUUAAAAAGUCCAUACGUAUGUAUGUAAGUGGUAUUAAAUUGGGCCCUGAUCACGAGCCAUGUCCGUUUGCCUGUAUGUUAGUAUAAGUGCCUAUUUGUAUGUCAACAUUUUAAGCUAUCGCCCUAGCAUUCCCAUAAUCUAAGUAACAGUCUGAGUAACAGUUGAGGAACUCACUAUAGCGUUCUCAUGGAUAUUUAUAUUUUUAACAGAAACUGUAAUUAUAGUCGAUUUUGGCUCCUAAAUCCCAAACGCAAGCGUGUUAUCUUGAGAAAACACAACUGUUAAACAGAUUAGGACUUUGAAUUCUAGUAAUGAAAACGGAUUACUAUUUACAAGUUAUAGGCGAAGGCACCUGAUAUACAGUGUUAUUGUGGAUUUACUCUUAAAUUUGCUUAUCACUGGAAAACUUUGUCUUGAACUAUAAAUUAUUAUAAAAAUCUUGGCAUACAAUCCCUUUAAAUUCUGUGUUACCUUUCGAUUGGUGUAUCUCCAUGAUUGGACUACAGAUCUCAAUUCUUCGUGAAUAUUUGUGAAGUAGUCGAAAAAUCUCUCUCUCCGAAAAGAUAUUAAAACAUUUUAAGGGCCUGACAGUUUUGUGUGGUUCGACGUUCUUAAGCAAACUUGAGCCGCUCGUCCGCUUUACUAAUGCCUAACCUCAACUUCCAAGUUUUUUCCCAGAUCGCAGCCCUCAAACAGAGAGACAUGCCGGAUGGACAUAUAGAUAGACGGGCAUCCGGCCCUGGCCAAAUCGAGUCAACUAGGAUCGGAAAGGCUCCUCGUUACGCACUUCACAUCUCUACGAGUAACGGGAAUAAUUAUAAGUGUUGUAGAGGGUAUAUUGAUUUCAGUCGCAAGUUUGCAACGCAGUGAAGGAGACAUAUGCUACGAUAUAAAGAACACUAUAAUAAAGCUUCCUUUCUUGUUUUUAACUUUCAACAUGUACAUAUAUGUAUAUGGUGGCAUUUGUAAGUAUGUAUUGGGGGUGUACUUUUUUACUGAGGGUGACAAACAACUGCUGCUGGGUACAGUUUUUUAUAUUGAUUUUAAUAUUGAUUUUGUUGCACAUUAUUAACAUUUACGUCGAAUCCAUCCACACCACCGAAAACGAAAAUCAAUUCAGCUGUCACAAGAAUUUAAACGUUUUAACCCUUUUUCUGUUUGAUAUUUGAAGCGGAAAACUAUGUGUUGUUCAGUUUUUAACCCUCACAUUUAUACUGGCUAUUUCUGGUAUUUCAAAAUGGCAAAUAUUACGUGUUUAGUUGUCUUAGUCUUACGUGUCUUAGUAAAUUGAAUUAGGUAAUUAACGUUGCACAGUUACUGAAUGCGGUCACGAAAACAGUCCCUGAAGCAUAGAUUCGGAGACAUACUUAUAUUUUUUCCAAUAUAGAGGACCUUAUUCUUGACAUCUUUGAUUCAGGAUUUUUUAAUG